rnacentral:rRNA from 1 species
UACGUAGGGUGCGAGCGUUGCUCGGAAUCACUGGGCGUAAAGGGUGCGUAGGCGGGUCUUUAAGUCAGGGGUGAAAUCCUGGAGCUCAACUCCAGAACUGCCUUUGAUACUGAAGAUCUUGAGUCCGGGAGAGGUGAGUGGAACUGCGAGUGUAGAGGUGAAAUUCGUAGAUAUUCGCAAGAACACCAGUGGCGAAGGCGGCUCACUGGCCCGGUACUGACGCUGAGGCACGAAAGCGUGGGGAGGCAAACAGG